UACAGAGGGUGCAAGCGUUGUUCGGAAUUAUUGGGCGUAAAGCGCGUGUAGGCGGCUUUGCAAGUCGGGUGUGAAAGCCCUCAGCUCAACUGAGGAGGUGCGCCCGAAACUGCAGAGCUUGAGUGCCGGAGAGGGUGGCGGAAUUCCCCAAGUAGAGGUGAAAUUCGUAGAUAUGGGGAGGAACACCGGUGGCGAAGGCGGCGAUCUGGGAAGAUACUGACGCUGAGGUGCGAAAGCGUGGGGAGCAAACAGG
rnacentral:rRNA from 1 species